GUCAGGCAUGAGAGGUUACACUAUCGACACUGGUUUGGAGAUCGAUUGGGAAGAUGUACCGAGCUCCAGAGACAAUGCAUCACACAGUAAAAAUCUGAAGAAAAAACCAUUUGGUUUUGUUGAGCUUUCUUCCCUCACGAGGAACAUAAGCGACGGAAACAUUGUUAAAAUGUUUGAGGUUUUUCUAAACGAGCUGAAAGAUUCAACCUCCAUCAGUAUGACCCUGGAACAAGAUCUUUGAUUUGCUGCUGAGCAAGAACAAAGACAGCCAGGGCCUGGUAAUGGAAGUCAUUCUUUUCUGGCAGAACAUACCUGAAGAUUUCUCUCCCAGUCAGACUGUCUAAAAUCUGAAAUCCUUAAUUGGUAUAAUGGGUAACUGUUUAUGUAGGUUAUUUGAGAGAACAACUCAAAAAUGUAUUUUGAGAAAUAUUACAGAUCUUAUAUUGCAAAUUAUUGAAAGGAAAUUAAAUAAUUCUUCACUCUACACAUCCCAAACUUUUGUUAAGGUUGAAUGUGUGCAACAAAUGAAGGAAAUCUUGGAUCGUGUCUGUAUGACUCAAAAAUGGCUUGAUAUCGUUAGAAGUAGAUGGACUGUUACAAAAAUAUUUGUCUAAAGUUUUAUGUAUUUACUUUGAACUUUGAACCACCGAUGACAUGUAAUGUGAAUCAUCUAAUUUGUUUGUAUGUAUAUAUAAUCAAUCUGUGU